AUGGCGAUGGAUGAUAACAGUUUGGGGUUUGCACAUGUGGAUAAGGUAACCCUCCAAUUGUGGUCAAGGCAGACGGGUUCCGACGGCAUUGCCUCAUGGACUCAGCGUUCUGUCAUCAAUCUUAAUAACCAUCUCUCCAUUCAAAAUCCCAAUGAAAGACUUGGACUGAUUGGAUCUCUGGAGGGCUGUGAUACCAUUUUCGUCACCAUGGGCCUUGACAUCUACGAGCUUAAUCUCAAGACAUUUCGGUGGAAGAAGCUGCAGAAGAGAGAAAAGCUUCGUGGUUUGAUUCCGUACAUGAGUUUCUACAGUCCACAAGGUAUAUUUGUAUCUAUAGCUAUACGUCCUCUACAUAUUAGUUAG
rnacentral:rRNA from 1 species